ACCUACGGGAGGCAGCAGUGGGGAAUAUUGGACAAUGGGCGCAAGCCUGAUCCAGCCAUGCCGCGUGAGUGAUGAAGGUCUUAGGAUUGUAAAGCUCUUUCACCGGAGAAGAUAAUGACGGUAUCCGGAGAAGAAGCCCCGGCUAACUUCGUGCCAGCAGCCGCGGUAAUACGAAGGGGGCUAGCGUUGUUCGGAAUUACUGGGCGUAAAGCGCACGUAGGCGGAUAUUUAAGUCAGGGGUGAAAUCCCAGAGCUCAACUCUGGAACUGCCUUUGAUACUGGGUAUCUAGAGUAUGGAAGAGGUGAGUGGAAUUCCGAGUGUAGAGGUGAAAUUCGUAGAUAUUCGGAGGAACACCAGUGGCGAAGGCGGCUCACUGGUCCAUUACUGACGCUGAGGUGCGAAAGCGUGGGGAGCAAACAGGAUUAGAUACCCCCGUAGUCCA
rnacentral:rRNA from 1 species